AUGUUUCAGUAAAAGCACAUAUACUGAAAUUGGAAUGGUACGAGGAGAUUAGCAUGGCCCCUGUGCAAGGAUAACACGCAAAUAUGUGAAUCAUUCCAUAUUUUU
ensembl:snRNA U6 U6 spliceosomal RNA